ensembl:lncRNA
GAGAGAGAGAGAGAGAGAGUCAGGGAGAGAGAGAGAGUCAGGGAGAGAGAGAGAGAGAGGAGAGAGAGAGAGAGACAGGGAGAGAGAGAGAGAGUCAGGGAGAGAGAGAGACAGGGAGAGAGAGAGAGAGUCAGGGAGAGAGAGUCAGGGAGAGAGACAGAGAGUCAGGGAGAGAGAGAGUCAGGGAGAGAGAGAGAGUCAGGGAGAGAGAGAGAGUCAGGGAGAGAGAGAGAGUCAGGGAGAGAGAGAAAGACAGGGAGAGAGUCGGAGUCAGGGAGAGAGAGAGAGACAGGGAGAGAGUCGGAGAGGGAGAGAGAGAGAGACAGGGAGAGAGUCGGAGAGGGAGAGAGAGAGAGAGACAGGGAGAGGGAGAGACAGGGAGAGGGAGAGACAGGGAGAGAGAGAGACAGGGAGAGAGAGAGACAGGGAGAGGGAGAGAGAGAGUCAGGGAGAGGGAGAGAGAGAGUCAGGGAGAGAGAGAGUCAGGGAGAGAGAGAGAGACAGGGAGAGAGAGAGAGACAGGGAGAGAGAGAGAGAGUCAGGGAGAGAGAGACAGGGAGAGAGAGUCAGGGAGAGAGAGACAGGGAGAGAGA